rnacentral:rRNA from 1 species
UACGUAGGGUGCGAGCGUUGUCCGGAUUUAUUGGGCGUAAAGAGCUUGUAGGCGGCUCGUCACGUCGGGUGUGAAAACUCGCGGCUCAACCGCGAGCCUGCACCCGAUACGGGCGGGCUAGAGUUCGGCAGGGGAGACUGGAAUUCCUGGUGUAGCGGUGGAACGCGCAGAUAUCAGGAGGAACACCGGUGGCGAAGGCGGGUCUCUGGGACGGUACUGACGCUGAGACGCGAAAGCGUGGGGAGCGAACAGG